rnacentral:rRNA from 1 species
CAGUGAGGAAUAUUGGUCAAUAGCCUAACUGGCUGAACCAGCAACUUGGAGGAAUGUACAGGGAAAACUGGUAAAAUGUGAUGUACCUGAUAGUAUUAGUGAUUAAUAUGAAAUUAACUAAGUUAAUUAAAAUUCAAAGUAGAUAUGUGAUUAUGACAAUAUUUGCUUAUUUCUUGACCAAGUCACGUGCCAGCAGUCGCGGUAAUACGUGGAAGAUAAGUGUUAUUCAUCUUUAGUAGGUUUAAAGGGUACCUAGACGGUUAAUUAAGCAUAUAAAUGUACUAAUUAUUAACUAGAGUUUAAUGUAAGAAGGAUUGAGUACGGUGAGUGAAGAGAUAAAAUUCUGUCAUACCACUUAGGAACUGGUAAAGGCGAAGGCAACCUUUUAUGUAAAAACUGACGUUGAGGGACGAAGGCUCGUAUUAAGUAAUAGGAUUAGAGACCCUAGUAUUGUGGGCAGACAAUGAUGAGUGUCAUAUGCAAGAAAAUUUUUUGUGUAUAAAUGAAAGUGUAAGCAUUCCACCUCAAGAGUAACGUGGCAACAUGGGAACUGAAAUCAUUAGACCGUUUCUGAAACUCGUAGUGAAGUAUGUUGUUUAAUUUGAUAAUCCUCAAAGAACCUUACCACAAUUUGUAUUACUAGUAUUUAUAUUAGUAACAAGCGUUGCACGGCUGUCUUCAGUCAAUGUUGUGAAACUUUGGUUAGAUCCAUUAAAUUGACGUAAACCCUUGCUUUAUUUGUUAUAAAGCAGUUCGCCGCUAUAUUGGUAAUGAUAUAAGGGACCAAGACAAGUCAUCAUGACCUGAACAUUGUGGGCUAUAGACGUGCCACAUCACUAUCAAACCC